AGCGAACGCUGGCGGCGUGCUUAACACAUGCAAGUCGAGUGCGUAGCCCUUUGUAGCAAUACAGAGGGUGGGCGCACGGCGCACGGGUGAGUAACACGUGGGUAACCUGCCCUUCGGUGGGGAAUAACCCCGCGAAAGCGGGGCUAAUUCCGCAUAACAUUCCGGGGACACAUGUUCUCGGACUCAAAGGAGCGAUUCGCCGGAGGAGGGGCCCGCGCCCGAUUAGCUUGUUGGUAGGGUAACGGCCUACCAAGGCUUUGAUCGGUAGCCGGUCUGAGAGGAUGGCCGGCCACACUGGAACUGAGACACGGUCCAGACUCCUACGGGAGGCAGCAGUGGGGAAUCUUGCGCAAUGGGCGAAAGCCUGACGCAGCGACGCCG
rnacentral:rRNA from 1 species